AAUCAACGCUGGCGGCGUGCCUCAGACAUGCAAGUCGAACGAUUAAAGCUCUCUUCGGAGAGUGUAUAGAGUGGCGCACGGGUGAGUAACACGUAAGUAAUCUACCCUCGAGUGGGGAAUAACGUCCGGAAACGGACGCUAAUACCGCAUAAUGCAGCGGCACCGCAAGGUGACAGUUGUUAAAGGAGCAAUUCGCUUGAGGAGGAGCUUGCGGCAGAUUAGCUUGUUGGUAAGGUAAUGGCUUACCAAGGCUACGAUCUGUAUCCGGUCUAAGAGGACGGUCGGACACACUGACACUGAAUAACGGGUCAGACUCCUACGGGAGGCAGCAGUCGGGAAUUUUGGGCAAUGGGCGAAAGCCUGACCCAGCAACGCCGCGUGAAGGAUGAAGUAUUUCGGUAUGUAAACUUCGAAAGAAUAGGAAGAAUAAAUGACGGUACUAUUUAUAAGCUCCGGCUAACUACGUGCCAGCAGCCGCUGUAACAC
rnacentral:rRNA from 1 species